AGUUGUAGAAUCACUGGUGAAUAAGGGGUGGGCAAGUUCUGGUGUCAGCCGCCGCGGUAAAACCAGCACCUCGAGUGGUCAGGAGGUUUAUUGGGCCUAAAGCAUCCGUAGCCGGUUGCAUAAGUUUUCGGUUAAAUCUAUGCGCUUAACGUAUAGGCCGCCGAAAAUACUGUGCAGCUAGGGAGUGGGAGAGGUACACGGUACUCGAUAGGAAGGGGUAAAAUCCUUUGAUCUAUUGAUGACCACCUGUGGCGAAGGCGGUGUACCAGAACACGUUCGACGGUGAGGGAUGAAAGCUGGGGGAGCAAACCGGAUUAGAUACCCGGGUAGUCCCAGCUGUAAACGAUGCAGACUCGGUGAUGCAUUGGCUUGUGGCCAAUGCAGUGCCGCAGGGAAGCCGUUAAGUCUGCCGCCUGGGAAGUACGUACGCAAGUAUGAAACUUAAAGGAAUUGGCGGGGGAGCACCACAAGGGGUGAAGCCUGCGGUUCAAUUGGAGUCAACGCCAGAAAUCUUACCUGGGGAGACAGCAGAAUGAGGGUCAAGCUGAAGACUUUACCAGACACGCUGAGAGGUGGUGCAUGGCCGUCGCCAGCUUGUGCCGUGAGAUGUCCUGUAAAGUCAGGUAACGAGCGAGACCCCUGCGUCUAGUUGCUACCAUUACUCUCUGGAGCAGUGGAGCGAAUUAGACGGACCGCCACAGUUAAUGUGGAGGAAGGAAGGGGCCACGGCAGGUCAGUACGCCCCGAAACCCUAGGGCUACACGCGGGCUGCAAUGGUAUUGACAUGUGUUCCGUAUCCGAAAGGAGGAGGCAAUCAUCAAACAUAUCUCAGUUAUGACUGAGGGC
rnacentral:rRNA from 1 species